AAAGUGAAGAGUUUGAUCCUGGCUCAGAGCGAACGCUGGCGGCGUGGAUUAGGCAUGCAAGUCGAACGGGUCUGGUUCGAUCGUAAGAUUGGUCCAGACUAGUGGCGAAAGGGAGAGUACAAAACAGGUAACGUACCCUGGACACCGGGACAGCCCGUCGAAAGACGGAUUAAUACCGGGCGAUGUCCCGGUCCGAAUGGACCGGGAUCAUAGGGCGGGGACCCUUCGGGGCCUGUCGGUCUGGGAGCGGCCUGUUUCCUAUCAGCUUGUUGGUGGGGUAAUGGCUCACCAAGGCGAUGACGGGUAGCCGGCCUUAGCGGGUGUUCGGCCUCACUGGGACUGAGACACUGCCCAGACUCCUACGGGAGGCUGCAGUCGAGAAUCAUUCGCAAUGCGCGCAAGCGUGACGGUGCGACGCCGCGUGCGGGAGGAAGCCCUUCGGGGUGUAAACCGCUUUUCAGGGGUAUGAAGUGCCUCCGCCGAACAAGCGGACGGCAUUGACGUCAACUCUGGAAUAAGCCACGGCUAACUUCGUGCCAGCAGCCGCGGUAAGACGAAGGUGGCGAGCGUUGCUCGGAAUCACUGGGCUUAAAGAGGGCGUAGGCGGCUCGGUCUGUCGGGUGUGAAAUCCCUUGGCUCAACCAAGGAAUGGCGCCCGAUACUGCCGGGCUUGAGGCAUUCAGGGGCGACUGGAACUCUCGGUGGAGCGGUGAAAUGCGUAGAUAUCGAGAGGAAC
rnacentral:rRNA from 1 species